AUUGAACGCUGGCGGCAUGCCUUACACAUGCAAGUCGAACGGUAACAGGUCUUCGGAUGCUGACGAGUGGCGAACGGGUGAGUAAUACAUCGGAACGUGCCCGAUCGCGGGGGAUAACGAAGCGAAAGCUUUGCUAAUACCGCAUAAGAUCUAAGGAUGAAAGCAGGGGACCGCAAGGCCUUGCGCGAACGGAGCGGCCGAUGGCAGAUUAGGUAGUUGGUGGGAUAAAAGCUUACCAAGCCGACGAUCUGUAGCUGGUCUGAGAGGACGACCAGCCACACUGGGACUGAGACACGGCCCAGACUCCUACGGGAGGCAGCAGUGGGGAAUUUUGGACAAUGGGCGCAAGCCUGAUCCAGCCAUGCCGCGUGCAGGAUGAAGGCCUUCGGGUUGUAAACUGCUUUUGUACGGAACGAAAAGAUUCUGGUUAAUACCUGGGGUCCAUGACGGUACCGUAAGAAUAAGCACCGGCUAACUACGUGCCAGCCGCCGCAGUAACAC
rnacentral:rRNA from 1 species